UACGUAGGGGGCAAGCGUUGUCCGGAAUCAUUGGGCGUAAAGAGCGUGUAGGCGGCCAGAUAAGUCCGCUGUGAAAUCUCGAGGCUCAACUUCGAGCUGUCGGUGGAAACUGUCUGGCUAGAGUCCGGAAGAGGAGAAUGGAAUUCCUGGUCGUAGCGGUGAAAAUGGCGCAGAUAUCAGGAGGAACACCAAUGGCGAAGGCAGCUCGCUGGACGGUACUGACGCUGGAGACGCGAAAGCGUGGAGCAAAC
rnacentral:rRNA from 1 species